GCACAAGCGGUGGAGCAUGUGGAUUAAUUCGAUGCAACGCGAAGAACCUUACCAAGGCUUGAUAUGGACUGGAAAUACCUGGAGACAGGUGCCCCGCUUGCGGUCGGUUCACAGGUGGUGCAUGGUUGUCGUCAGCUCGUGUCGUGAGAUGUUGGGUUAAGUCCCGCAACGAGCGCAACCCUCGUUCUAUGUUGCCAGCGCGUGAUGGCGGGGACUCAUAGGAGACUGCCGGGGUCAACUCGGAGGAAGGUGGGGACGACGUCAAAUCAUCAUGCCCCUUAUGUCUUGGGCUUCACGCAUGCUACAAUGGCCGGUACAAAGGGUUGCGAUACUGUGAGGUGGAGCUAAUCCCAAAAAGCCGGUCUCAGUUCGGAUUGGGGUCUGCAACUCGACCCCAUGAAGUCGGAGUCGCUAGUAAUCGCAGAUCAGCAACGCUGCGGUGAAUACGUUCCCGGGC
rnacentral:rRNA from 1 species